GGAUGUGAGGGCAAUCUGGCUGUGACAUCUGUCAUGCAUUGAUCACUAGGGUUUAUUGGGCUGUUCUGGCUGGCUAGGUGGGUGUCUGCUUCUUUCUUCACCACUCCAUGUGUGUCCCUCCCAAAGCUCCCUGAAUAGAGGCAGAGAGAACGCUAAUUGGGAAUGGCAUGGGAGUAUGAGGGUCUGCAUUGGAUGUUAUCAACUACCAGUUCCAGGCCAGUGUAAUAAAAUAAUGUCUUAAAAUAAAGAGUAAAAAACAGAGGUUAAAAAAUAGGCUUUGGGGCCUA
rnacentral:snRNA from 1 species